GGCCCAGACUCCUACGGGAGGCAGCAGUGGGGAAUAUUGCACAAUGGGCGAAAGCCUGAUGCAGCGACGCCGCGUGAGGGAUGACGGCCUUCGGGUUGUAAACCUCUUUCAGCAGGGAAGAAGCGAAAGUGACGGUACCUGCAGAAGAAGCGCCGGCUAACUACGUGCCAGCAGCCGCGGUAAUACGUAGGGCGCAAGCGUUGUCCGGAAUUAUUGGGCGUAAAGAGCUCGUAGGCGGCUUGUCACGUCGGGUGUGAAAGCCCGGGGCUUAACCCCGGGUCUGCAUUCGAUACGGGCUAGCUAGAGUGUGGUAGGGGAGAUCGGAAUUCCUGGUGUAGCGGUGAAAUGCGCAGAUAUCAGGAGGAACACCGGUGGCGAAGGCGGAUCUCUGGGCCAUUACUGACGCUGAGGAGCGAAAGCGUGGGGAGCGAACAGGAUUAGAUACCCUGGUAGUCCACGCCGUAAACGGUGGGAACUAGGUGUUGGCGACAUUCCACGUCGUCGGUGCCGCAGCUAACGCAUUAAGUUCCCCGCCUGGGGAGUACGGCCGCAAGGCUAAAACUCAAAGGAAUUGACGGGGGCCCGCACAAGCAGCGGAGCAUGUGGCUUAAUUCGACGCAACGCGAAGAACCUUACCAAGGCUUGACAUACACCGGAAAGCAUUAGAGAUAGUGCCCCCCUUGUGGUCGGUGUACAGGUGGUGCAUGGCUGUCGUCAGCUCGUGUCGUGAGAUGUUGGGUUAAGUCCCGCAACGAGCGCAACCCUUGUUCUGUGUUGCCAGCAUGCCCUUCGGGGUGAUGGGGACUCACAGGAGACCGCCGGGGUCAACUCGGAGGAAGGUGGGGACGACGUCAAGUCAUCAUGCCCCUUAUGUCUUGGGCUGCACACGUGCUACAAUGGCAGGUACAAUGAGCUGCGAUACCGUGAGGUGGAGCGAAUCUCAAAAAGCCUGUCUCAGUUCGGAUUGGGGUCUGCAACUCGACCCCAUGAAGUCGGAGUUGCUAGUAAUCGCAGAUCAGCAUUGCUGCGGUGAAUACAUUCCCGGGCCUUGUACACACCGCCCGUCACGUCACGAAAGUC
rnacentral:rRNA from 1 species